AGCAGCCGCGGUAAUUCCAGCUCCAAUAGCGUAUAUUAAAGUUGUUGCAGUUAAAAAGCUCGUAGUUGAAUUUCGGGGUUAGUAGGUUGGUCAUGCCUCUGGUAUGUACUGGUCUCACUGAUUCCUCCUUCCUGAUGAACCUUAAUGCCAUUAAUUUGGUGUUUUGGGGAAUUUGGACUGUUACUUUGAGAAAAUUAGAGUGUUUAAAGCAAGCUAACGCUUGAAUACAUUAGCAUGGAAUAAUGAAAUAGGACGUUCGAUCCUAUUUUGUUGGUUUCUAGGAUUGACGUAAUGAUUAAUAGGGAUAGUUGGGGGCAUUAGUAUUCAAUUGUCAGAGGUGAAAUUCUUGGAUUUAUUGAAGACUAACUACUGCGAAAGCAUUUGCCAAGGAUGUUUUCAUUAAUCAAGAACGAAAGUUAGGGGAUCGAAGACGAUCAGAUACCGUCGUAGUCUUAACCAUAAACUAUGCCGACUAGGGAUCGGAUGAUGUUAAUUUUUUAAUGACUCAUUCGGCGCCUUA
rnacentral:misc_RNA from 1 species